UUUUGUCUCGAUUUAUAUUUCCCUCCAGAGGAGAAACUAGGUGGCCCCUGGAAUUCCACAGCAUCUAAAAUGUGCCGCGGGAAAACGCUCCGAAGGCGUGCAGGGAAUUAACCCUUUCCGUUCCGCCGGCCGAGACCGACAUUUAAGGGCGUCCUCCCCGGACUUGCUGUCCAUUAGCCCCAGUUUACUCUGUAGCCAGAUCCCAUCUCUCCGGAUCACCUUCCAGUUCUGCUGUCCGCUCUAGAGUUUCUGGGAUGAUCGAUGGGCAAACUUCCGCUGCAGACCCGGCGUUCAUCCCCUCCCUAACCCUCACGGUCCACCUUAAGGAGACUCCGCAGCCGAAAGUAGAGGCGGGUGUUUUGUUCUUAUAAGGAGGAAAAGUUUCUUUGACAUCCAGGAAAUGAGUAACUCUGAAGUCCUUUAGAGCCCCCGCUGAUGGAGGCCAGAAGGCGGGAGCCGGCUGGGGUAUCACCGCCCGCGUCCCUCUAAUUGCCCUGACGCUCCGCGGCAGCAGCCGCCAGACAGCCGAUUCCGGGCCCCCGGGACCCGCGCGUGCAGCGGAGGCUCGCGCGGUCCCUCCCGCGCCAGGGAGCGGACACCAAGACUAAACGAAAGCUGCAGCCAUGGCGCUGGGGCUCUUCCGGGUGUGUCUGGUUGUGGUGACCGCCAUCAUCAACCAUCCGCUGCUGUUCCCGCGAGAGAACGCCACGGUCCCCGAGAACGAAGAGGAGAUCAUCCGCCAGAUGCAGGCCCACCAGGAGAAGCUGCAACUGGAGCAGCUGCGCCUGGAGGAGGAGGUGGCACGGCUGGCAGCCGAGAAGGAGGCGCUGGAGCGGGUAGCAGAGGAGGGCCAGCAGCAGAACGAGAGCCGCGCAGCCUGGGACCUGUGGAGCACCCUCUGCAUGAUCCUCUUCCUGGUGAUCGAGGUGUGGCGGCAGGACCACCAGGACGGGCCCUCGCCCGAGUGCCUGGAAGAAGAUGAGCUGCCUGGCCUGGACGGCGCCCCGCUCCGGGGCCUCACCCUGCCCAACAAGGCCACGCUGGACCACUUUUACGAGCGCUGCAUUCGAGGAGCCACAGCCGACGCUGCCCGCACCAGGGAGUUUGUGGAAGGCUUCGUGGAUGACUUGCUGGAAGCACUGAGGAGCCUGUGCAGCCGGGACUCAGACAUGGAGGUGGAGGACUUCAUCGGCGUGGACAGCAUGUACGAGAACUGGCAGGUGAACAAGCCGCUGCUGUGCGACCUCUUUGUGCCCUUCAUGCCCCCAGAGCCCUACCACUUCCACCCAGAACUCUGGUGCUCUGGCCGCUCCGUGCCCUUGGAUCGCCAGGGCUAUGGCCAGAUCAAGGUGGUCCGGGCAGACGAGGACACACUGGGCUGUAUCUGCGGCAAGACCAAGCUGGGGGAAGACAUGCUGUGUCUCCUCCACGGCAAGAACAGCGUGAUGCGGCGGCCGGGCAGUGAGGCGGGAGAGCUGCUGUGUGCCGGAGACUCUCCAUACCUAGACACCAUGCGGGUCAUGAAGUGGUUCCAGACGGCCCUCACCAAAGCCUGGCACUGCAUUGCCCACAAGUACGAGUUCGACCUGGCCUUUGGCCAACUGGACACCCCGGGAUCCCUCAAGAUCAAGUUCCGCUCGGGGAAGUUCAUGCCCUUCAACCUGAUUCCUGUGAUCCAAUGUGACGAUUCCGACCUGUACUUUGUCUCCCACCUUCCCAGGGAGCCCUUCGGGAAUACCCCGGCAUCCAGCACCGAUUGGCUCCUGUCCUUCGCUGUCUACGAGCGCCACUUCCUCAGGAUGACCUCGAAGGCGCUGCCGGAGGGUUCCUGCCACCUCAGCUGCUUGCAGAUCGUCUCCUUCUUGCUCUCCAAGCAAAGCCGCCUGACCGGCCCCAGCGGGCUUGGCAACUACCACCUGAAGACCGCUCUGCUGCACCUCCUGCUGGCCCGGCGACCCACCGACUGGAAGGCUGGGCAUCUCGACGCUCGUCUGCACGAGAUGCUCUGCUUCCUAGAGAAGAGCCUGCUGGAGAAGAAGCUCCAUCACUUUUUCAUCGGCAACCGCAAGGUGCCGGAAGCCCUGGGGCUCCCCGAGGCGGUGCGCAGGGCUGAGCCUCUCAACCUCUUCCGGCCCUUUGUCCUGCAGCGAAGUCUCUACCGGAAGACAGUGGACUCCUUCUAUGAGAUGCUCAAGAAUGCCCCAGUGCUCAUUAGCGAGUACUCCCUCCAUAUCCCCUCAGACCACUCCAGCCUGCCCCAAAAAGCUGUCAUCUCGUAGAGCAUCCUUGACCCAGAGGACUAGGACAAGGGGCAUCGCACAUGUCCACACCCCUGGGGAUAUCCACAGGCUCUGUCCUGGAAAAAUGAUGGGCUUUGUAGGGUGCCGUGGCUCAGCCUUUCAGGGAAGCCAGACCCUAUAGCACAGAGGAAACGGAAUUCCAAGCCAAAGCUGGUUUGCUUUCGUGCCAUUGGGACCUGCUGGUGAAGCUGUUGUCUGGGUUUGGGUACCGACCAACCCUUUGCAGCUUACUUUUGGAUCACCACCAGUGGCUGAGGUGACGGAAGAGCUCUGUGAACACUGAGUUACAGACAAUGCAAAUAUCGAUUUGGGUGUAAUUCUUUUUACAUCCCACAUCCAGUCUUUACUUGAAUAUCAACAAAGGAGCUACAGGAAUGCUAACAGGGACCCAUGUUAAGACCCUGCAGCCCUAUUUUCAGUGAUCCUUGGCCCCAGGCAUCUGCAACUAAAGCACUAAUAGGAGCAGAUGUGGGAAUUUACCGCGCUCCGUCCACAGCCUGCGCAAGAGGGGUCCCCACCAUGGCUGUUUUUUCAUACUGUUUGUAGAGAAGACCUCGAGAGAUUCAAGGCCCCAGUGGCUCUGUUGUACAGAAGUGGGUACUCAGUGGCAGAGAGUUUAAAUUGGCCGCUAUUUUAGCUACAUGUCUCACUCAGGGUGCACCUCCUUCUCUCUGCCUCUUCCAUGAGGAUUCUGUGUCCUGAACCUUGUGGGUGCCACAUACCCUGCUGGGUACACAUCACAAAGCCCUUACCCCUUGUUACUCCUGCUGGUCUCCCUGACCACCAGGAUGUGAGAGGGUGGGCACUGAAGAUGGAAGGUGAUAGAGAAAGAAGGGCAUGGGGUGACUGGAGCAAAGGACAGAGCCUGGUACCCAAGGUGCUGGGGUCAGGGUGCAGUGUGGCCUCAGCUCAAGAAGGUUGGAGAGGUGAGGAGCGAGGGAGGCCGCAGCCCUGAGUUUCCCUCAGGGUUCCUAUCCUAGGUUCCAGGGUACACCUGGAGGCAAGGUCUGCUGUAGAAACCCAGCUCCAUCUGAAGGCCCCCAAAGCUCCUUGGCUCUUCAUUCCAGUGGGGCCCCCUCACUGCACAAAACCUACACCUCCGUUCUGCAUGGGCCUUGCUGGCCACACAGAUGACCAGCACCCGAAGCACCUGACAGAGGCUCAGCAGACUGGACACAUAGGAACAGACUGCAAGCACAGCCCUCAGACCUGAGAGAGACUGCCUUGGCACUGCUGGGCUUCUGUCCCCAGGCAGGCCCCAGAGCCUGCGGUCAGAGCUGGCCUCCGUCUCCAGGCCUGGUUGGGGCGGGUGGGGCUGGGAAGCCGCUCCCUCCUCCACUUGUGGCUUCACUGGCCCUUUGGGAGUUCCUCUCUUGGCAUCGCCUCAGUAACCCUUGCAGAGGCUGAGGAGGAAGCAGGAAUGAGUGCUCUUCCCUCCAGAGUUGAAGCUGGUUGUGCCUCCCCGACAGCCUACCCAGUUCCUUAGGGGCGUCGGGCUCCCCAUAAACUGAAGAAAGGAUCCUGUCUCUACCACAGAGGUGCUGUCACCUAGCGUCAAGAGUGUUCUAGAAGAUGGGCGGUUUGCCUGACAAGGUUAAUCCCCAGUGGUAGGCUCAGCUGUGAUGGGGCGUGGAAGCCCAAAACUGGAUUUGGACUGAGCAGCGCCUGGGUCCGCCCCUCCCCAGGCCCACAUGAUCUCCAGCCACAACCCUGAGCGCCCCCAUUCCACAGGGAUUCAUUUCUAGAGUUGGGGAAAAUUUCCUUAUUUAUUGUCACCCGUGCCUUGCCUUUCCCAUCAUCAUCCUCAUCUAGAGACCCCAGCAACCAAGAACCAGCCUUCGCAAGCCAAGACCAAGCCUGACUCUCUCCUUCACUUCCAGGAGAAAAUCCACUGAAAAAUUACCUUCUGGCCUCUUGUUUAUAGAGAGACAACAGCUCAGCGGGGAAACGGGGUGUUUUUUUGUUUUGUUUUGUUUUGUUUUAAUGCACCAAAGCUGCUUCUGAAGCAGAAAGCGGCGGGGCUCUUGGGUUUCAUGCUGCCUUAUUUAUAUUAAAGGAAGAAUUAAAUUCAUGCAAAGAGUAGAAACUGGUCACGGUGUUUGUUUUUAACUUCAGGAAGUCUGAGGUUCCCAGGGCAGAACUGGGGAGGGGGGGGUUUCCUAUUGACAAGCGGAAGUUUUCACUCCCUUUUUAUUCUUAUACUUUCAGAAAACUUUAAAAAAUAGCAAGAUAGAAUAUUUCUGGCCCAUCUUUGAGGCAGCCUGCAGAGUUCCAAAAAGGGCCUUUGAAAGCCAGCUGUAAGGUGGAUUCUAGCACAAAACCCUAUUUCACAGAGCUGAUGUGGGCAAAGAAUGUGGGGAUUAGGCUUGAAGGAGAGAGAUUGUCUUUUAAAACAGAAGAGUUCUGGUCCUUUGGGGCCCUUAGGCCUUUGCACUAAGGACAACUUUCUCUGAGGACUCUCCUUCCCAAGGAUGCUAGACUUUACACAGCAGUCUGUUCACUUACUGUACCAAAUGCCUCCAGGCUGGUUCCAGGGCCCCACUGCAGACUUCAGAGGAAUCUCUAGGAGUCAGGCAUAGGACUCUGCAUUUUGUCAAGUCCUCCAGGUAAUGCUGGAAGUCCAAGAAUCCCUGACACCUGGGGCAUCGGGGAAGGCCUCAUGGUACAGUGCUGCCUGAUACUGUUUCUGGAAGAUGGGCAGGAUUGACCAGGAAAAGCAUUUCAGCUGGAACCAUGAAGUGAGAAUAGGAAAGCAUAACAGAGGUAGGCAAUCUUUAAGUAGUACCUACUGUAUGCCAAGCACCCUUUCAGAGCGGGGUUGGUGGCAGCUGUGGCAACAGUGGGUGAACAUCCUGGAAAUCUCAACUUAAGUCCCUCUGCAGACUGUGAUUCAGAACAUUCUCAUGCUCCAUCCGGUCUCCACCUCAGGGGAAGGAGUGGGAAGGUUGUUUGGUUUGGCCAGAGGACCACCAGCAGAGAGAGCCAAGAACCACCCAGUGAUGGAAGUGUGUGCCUUCAGGUCACCUCACCGCCCCCUUCACCCUCCUCAGCCUUGCCCCCGCCCAGCACCCCAGAGGGACAGCUUUCAGACUUCACUUUUCUCAUUGCCAUCCAAAGACAGCUUGUUUUUCUGACUUUUUUUUUUUUUAACAAAAACAUUACAGUCAUGAUAAAAAAAUUCAACCACUAACAGAAAAAUUAAGUAACAGACGAAGUUCCCACUCUUGACUUGCCCAGCAUCAACCAAUAGGACGUCUCCUGCCUACCCUUCCAAAAUCAUUCUGUGUGUACAUAUCACAUGUGUGGAUGCAUCCUUCUAGUUCUUUUUUUCUGUAAAUUACAUCAUACCAUCUAACUUUUCUUGGACAUCUUUUUUGAACAUUUGUCUCUAACUCACUCUUCAUUUUUUUUAUUUUUUUAUUUUUUUUCUUUUUGGCCACCCCCACAGCAUAUGGAGAUCCAAGGACAGGGAUCAGAUCCGAGGUGCACUUGCAACCUAACCCACAAUGGCAACACUGGAUCCUUAACCCACUGUGCCAGGCCUGGAAUCGAACCUGCAUCCCAGCACUCCCAAGACACCACCAAUUCCUGUUGCACUGCAGGGGGAACUCCUCUAACUUAACUUAUUCUUUAAAGUAGCUGCUUAUCACCUCCUUGUGUGAUAGAUGUACCCUAAUUUACCCACCCUCCCCUGAGGACCACUGAGGCAUCUCCACUUUUUUGCUUUUACAAACAAUGCUUUAGCAAACAUCUCAGUUCUUAAAAGCCUUCUUUGAAGUGAUUCUCUCCUGGUAAUUGCUGUGUUCUGUGCUCACCAACUUGCUGUAUAUGGAUUCACCAGCAAGCAUCUUACUAUAAAAAUAAGAACAAUCCCUUUCUUCUGUAACGUAUUCAAUUAUCCUGACUCCAGAGUGAGGGAAAAGCUCUUUUUUUUUUUUUUUUUUUGUCUUUUUAGGCCUGCUCCACGGCAUAUGGAGGUUUCCAGGCUUGGAGUCGAAUCCAAACUGUAGCCACUGGCCACAGCAACACCAGAUCCGAGCCAUGUCUGCAACCUACACCAAGGCUCACAACAACGCAGGAUCCUUAACCCACUGAGCAAGACCAGGGAUGGAACCUGCAUCCUCAUGGAUACCAGUCCAGAUUUGUUUCCACUGAGCCACGACAUGAACUCCAGAAAAGGCAUUUUUAACCAAGUACUCAGCAGCACAGCUCAUGUUCCAUCUUGGGUCAGAUGCUAUUUAUGGAACGGAAGUAUAAGACAAAGGAAGGGCACUGUCCCCAAGGAACUGGGUCUAUUAGGAAGACGAGUCUGAUGGAUCUAAGGCCAAGGACAAUGAAGGCUGGAAAAUGUGAAGCGCCUCCCCAAAGAAAAUCAAAUCAACACGACUGUCAUUCUGUCACCACAUGCCUGUAUUCCAUUCAUCUGAGCUCAGGGCUGAUUAAUUUCCUCCUGCACAAUGUGGGACCCCUGCUUUAGAGCAUUUGUUAAUCCUCCAGACAGAGAAGCUCUUGAAACCCUACCCCUGCAAGACCAGACAAGACCACAAGCAGUGAGAUUACUCAGCCUGAGUAGUCAGUGCUCCAGAGAGAGUCAAGGAAGUGAGGUCCUUGUCCUCCAUGUGCCCUCUCAAACUGGAGGCCCAUGAGGGACCCAGACCUCUGUCAUGACAAGACGUGCAGAGACCAAUGCGGCUGAGAUUCCAGACAGUGCAGAUGGCACAGGGGCUGAGAACUUGGACUCUGUGUUUAAAUCCAGUUAUGCCAUGUCCUAGCUCAGCAAGUCUCAUAAUUUCUAUAAGCCUUGGUUUUCCUUAGUUUCUUCUGUAAAAUGGGAAUGAUAGUGUCCACUUCAUAGAACCAUUGAAAAGAUUGAGUGAAAAGGGCACAUGUAAAGCACUUAGCUUAGGGCUUGAUGAAUAAUAACAAAAAUAGCAGCAGUUAUUACCCUUGCUCUUAGGAGGCCCCCUUACAGCCAAAUUCCUACUUUGUGGUUUCCCCAUUGGUGGUAAGGCUGUCCCUCAAGUACCCACUCGCCCCCACUCUGUGGCAUGUGAGUCUGUCUUCUCUGGAGGCUCUCUUAGUACAGGGCAUGACCUGCCCGACCUGUUUCCUCCACACAUACCUUAGGGUCAUGUGCAUGCCCAGUAAAUAUCUGUGACCAAAGUGGGUCUGGGACACUGGCCUCAGUUUGAGAAUAGGAAGUGGUGUCUUACCUUGACUCAUCUGACCCCUCUGCUCUCUGUCCCUUUGCAGAACUGUCAGAGCCUAGACCAGUAGUUGCCAUAGCAACAACAGAGCCCAAGAGAGGGUACCAGUCAGGGCAUCCCUGAUUCUCAAGAGACAAGGUGCUUUUUCUGGACAGCAAAGAGGGGAAACAGCUGUGACAGCUGCCUUACAAUGAGCUCCCUGGGAGGCAUACACCCCUUCAUUCCAUCACUCAUCCAAUCAUGUAUUCGCUCCUUCACAAAACAUUUAUUGAGUGGCUAUCACUAUGCCAGAUGCUAAGAAAACAGAAUUCAAGUGAAACACUGUUCCUGCCUUGAGACAGGUUCCAGUCUAGAGGGAACCAGAAGGGAAGGCAGGGAGGGCGGGCGGCAGGAGGGUAUGGGUCAGAGGGAAGCAGAGGAGUGCAGAGGUUAAGAGCAUGUCCUCUGGAGUCAGCUGCCUGCAUUCAAACCCAGACUUUGCCCAUUACUGGCCAUGUGACAUCUGGGCAAGUUACUUCAUCUCUAAGCCUCAGUUUAUUCAUAUGUAAAAUGGGGUAACUAGUGCUUACCUCAAAGACUCUGAGGUAUCUUUAGUACAUGUAAAUCACGUGACAUGUAGCAAGCACUCAAUAACCAGUAGGUUUUCUAUUGUUCUGGCUCUACCCCAGGUUCCAUCCUCCACAUACCCAAAACCAGUUUCAGAUUAGAGCUUCCUCCAGGGCUCCCUCAGCAGAGCCCUAGCUAACCCUGGCUUCCAGGCUAAGCAGCCCCACUGCCACUGCACCUGGGACUUCUGUGUGUACCUCAUCCCCUGCUGCCAGCAGAUUUUUCGGACAGUGUUCCAGGUAAAGUCCCCAAAGGGGUGUCUUCUGUUUGGCACAUGAAUGGCCAAGGACCACUUGUUUAAGGAUGGAAUUUUGAGAAUACCUUCUGCCCUGAUUAUUUAUAGGAUUCCUCAGUAUUCAUCCUAGUACUUUCCUCCUUGGGCAGAAAUGCCCAGAAACACACACACACACGCACAUACACACACAUCCUUUGAGAGGUUUUCUAAAUCCUUGAGCAUAACCCAAAUACUCAAGUAUAAACCCCGAUUUAGCAAAGGCUUCCCCGCCCUCCAGGCCUGAGCUGCUGGAAGGGGUGGUGCCACUGCUCAGGCUCCCCUGUGUGGGCAGUGUGGUCAGAGCCUGCGUUAGUGGUUUUGUCCUCUUUGGCUGACAGGCCUAUAAAUCCUCUUUCUUGUUGGCUCCCAGCCCUCUGAGGGAGUCUGUCUGCUACUGACGAAGUGGACUGGAGACCUUUGCUAUCUGUCUGCGAGGGGAUUCUUGGUUGUAGUGGAUCCUUGGGAGGACAUGACAGGGCAGUUUCCUGUAGUUCAUGUCUGGAGCACGUGUGUAAUAUUUUCCAUGAGCAGCACAGCUCCAGGUGUCUUUGUGUUCCAUGCAGCCUCCAAGCUGCCAGGUACCUGGGCAGACCUGUGUGCAUUUCAAAUCCCUUACACUUUAACCCGUGGAAGGUGGUGAUGUGCUCCAAGAGGGCAGAGAAGCUGGAUUCUGAGUACUCCUCCAUAACACAGGAGAGGGUAUUUAUUGUACCAUCAGCAGCAACAUGGCAGAAUUCCAAGAGUCACAGUAUGACACUAGGCUUGAGAUUCGAGGAGUGCAGAUGAGGGGAGGGAAGAAAGGUCCGGCUUCCAAGGGCUCACAGGUCAUUUGAGAUUAAGUCUGCACACAUGAAGCAACCAGAAAACAAUUCCAAGCCGUGGAUCAAGCUGCAUGCAAUGUAGUACAUCUUGUUUGACAAAGUGAUGGGAGAAUAAACAGAGUUCAUGUCUGAUCAUCCACAGAAGCCUCACCGUGAGAGUAGAGUUGCCCACCAUUCACUGAGCAUUUCCCCUGCAGGUCCUAAAUCCUUACAGGGAUGACCCCAUCAUUGUUCAGGGACCCUAGGAAACACGUACUUGGUGGUCUCAUGUUCCAGACAAGAAACUGAAGCUCAGAGGGAUUGAGCAACUAGUCCAUGAAGUUUAAUUAAAGUCAGAGCCAGGAUUUGAACCCGCUACAUCUGACCAACACAGCUCCCUUUUUAUGCACCAUGGCACACCAUCUCUUUGCCCAAAGAAGGAUUCUUUUUUUUUUUUAGGGCCGCUGCCGCAGCAUAUGGAGGUUCCCAGGCUAGGGGUCUAAUCAGAGCUAUAGCCACCGGCCUAUGCCAGAGCCACAGCAACGCAGGAUCUGAGCCCUGUCUGCGACCUACACCACAGCUCACAGCAACGCCAGAUCCUUUACCCACUGAGCAAGGCCAGGGAUCGAACCUGCAACCUCAUGGUUCCUAGUCGGAUUCGUUAACCACUGCGCCACGACAGGAACUCCCAAAGAAGGAUUCUUACCUGAACUUGCCAAGAGAAAAUCUAGUUGGGAAAAACAAAACAAAACAAAACAAAAAACCAGGCGGCUGCUCUGAAGAUUAGAGAGUAAAGGAAACAGCGUUUGCAAAGCCUCAAGAACUGUGACAAACCAGAUGUGAGCAAAAUGUUUGAAAAGACCAAAUGUCCAGCCUUCCAGGGACUCACAGAUGUAGACAAAUGAGGAGUGGAGCUCCUGAGUGGGCACAGUGCUCAGUGGGCUGGGGUUGGGGAGGGGCCGGAGGCUAAGCAAUGAGAAGACCCUUGGGUUGGAUUUUUUUUUUUCUUUAUGGCCAUACCAUACGGCAUAUGGGAGUUCCCAGGCCAGGGACUGAAUCCAAGCCACAGCUGCAGCAAUACCAGAUCUCUUAACCCACUUUGCCAGGCCAGGGAUAGAACCUGCAUUUUCAGAGCUAUUUGAGCCACUCAGUCAGUUUCUUAACCCACUGCACCACGGCUGGAACAUCUCAGGCUAGAUAUUUGGCUGGUUGUGCAGACUUUAGAUAACAAAUGGAACCAGGCUGACAUAAACCACUGGACAGCCCGAGACAAAGCAGCAAAGAUUCCCCACCAUCAAGAAGGCCAUUGAAACAUGGAUGCAACUAAAGAGUCUCAGACUAAGUGAAGUAAGUCAGAAAAAGGAAGAGAAAUACCAUAUGAUAUCACUUAUGUGUGGAAUCUAAAAUAGGGCACAAAUGAACCUAUCUAUAAAACAGAAACAGACUCACAGACAUGGAGAACAGACUUGUGGUUGCCAAGGGGGAGGGGGAGAGGGAGGGAGUGGUAUAGACUGGGAAUUUGGGGUUAAUAGAUGUAAAGUAUUGCCUUUGGAAUAGAUAAGCAAUGAAAUCCUGCUGUAUGGCCCUGGGAGCUGUAUCUAGUCACUUAGGAUGAAGCAUGAUAAUGUGAGAAAAAAGAGUGUAUAUGUGGAUGUGUGACUGGGUCACCUUGCUGUACAGUAGAAAAUUGACAGAACACUAUAAACCAGCUAUAAUGGAAAAAACUAAAAAUCAUUUUAAAAAAUAAAAAAGAGCACAAAUGAACCUAUCUACAGAACAGAAACAGACUCACAGACAUGGAGAACAGAUUCGUGGUUGCCGAGGGGGAGGGAGAGGGAGUAGGAUGGACUGGGAGUUGAGGUUAGUAGAUGCAAACUAUUAGAAUGGAUAAGCAAUGAGAUUCUGCUGUAUAGCACAGGGAACUAUAUCCAAUCACUUGUGAUAGAACACAAUGGAAGAUAAUAUGAGAAAAAGAAUGUGUAUAUAUACAUAUACUUUAUAUAUAUAUAUGUAUGUAUGUAUGUAUGACUGGGUCACUGCUAUACAGCAGCAAUUGAAAUAAAGUAAAUCAACUAUACUUUAAUUUUUUAAAAAAUCUUUUUUCAAAAAGAAGACCACUGACUUUGACAAUAGAAAUGUGGACCAGGUGGGAUGCAAAGUGAGAAAUUAAAGGAGAGAUCACCCCCACCCUCACCCCAAAAGCUCCAAGGAGCAUUAUGGAGGUGCACACAGGCAGUCCCUGCAGGACUGAAGAGGCUUAACCUUGGACUUGAUCAUUCAGGUUUAAUCCACUCUAACACUCACAUCCACUCUGCUAUCUGACAUCAGAGAAGUUUAGAGCUAGAAGGAAUUUCAAGUAACUUUUACUCACCAUCAGCCACCCACCACCACUGCCAGCUGACCUGGCCACACCAUGCUACCCCCACUGUGUCAGGAUGUAAUUGGACUCAGCCCAGAUGGGCUCCAGUCCAGAACCUCUAAGGUAAAGAGUCCACACAACUUCCUCUGGUUCUGAUGUGAACAUCAUCUCUGACAAGGAGGUGCUUUUGAUGCUGUGGUUUACACUAGUUUUCUCUUUUUCCAAUCUGCGGGACAUAGGAGACAAAUUUCACCUGCUUUCAUAAGAUACACUCCCAUUGUUAAAAGUGGGACAUGGGAUGAUGGAAGACCCCUUCCUCUUUCACUGGAUUUUUUUUUAACCCUGAUAUUGUUUAUGCCCCCCCCCAAUAAAAGAAGGGGUAUUCUGAAAACUCAUGGAGCAUUAUUUUUCUCUUUUCUCCAGGCUAUGCUUCUAGUUUCAUCCAGAGGUUGACAACUCAGAUUCCUCUGUGGCUCAGAUGGGUAAUAUACAGGAAUGAGACGGAAGUAGUGGAAGGCAGUGGAGGUGACCCUGGCCAGCUGCAGAGAUCAUGCUUGGCUGAAAGGCUUUCACAUCUCAAACUGGGCUUCAGGGUUCUGGCCUGCAGAUUUCCUACUUUUCUCCAUCCUUUAUUUCCUGGAUUUCCAAGCUUUCUAAAUUAGCAUGUGGAGCCCCAGAAGAGAACAUCUUUUGUUUUGGCCACCCAGUGACAAGCCCUUUAUUUGUUGUGUCAACAACAGUCUUGGUCCCAUGCCAAAUACCGGGCAGCACACAGGAUAUACACCUGUAAAGUUGAUCAAUCCCUGAGUCCCAGGAGAGGCCAUGGAAACAGAGCAAGGAUCCCAGGGAAAUGUGACUCUCAGACCUUACUCUGCAUUGGCUCGGGUGCCAUAGCAACAGAGAGCCCCAUCCUGAACAGAUGGCAGGGCAGAUUGCCCAGUCAGGUGGCAACCCCCACCACCCCAACCCCACCCAAGCAGGCUUGCUCUGUCCAACUGGCAUGAAGUCACAAUGGUAACUAUUUACAUGAGUCAAAAUCCGCCCAGAGGCAGCAGAUGGUGGGGCCAGGCUGAGACGUGGGAGAUAGAGGCUGGUUUGGGCUGAAUCAGAGGCAGCAGCAGCCGACAGCUCCUCCUUGGGCACCGACAAGUCCAAACAUCACUCCCGCCACUGCCUGGUCCCAGCAUGGCUGGAGGCUGGGAAAAGAUCUGGCAUGACCAAAGCUGAAAUGAUCACAGGCUGAUCCCGAGACCCUGAGAUAAAAUAGUAUUGAACAGGACUGUCCCUCUCUCCUAAGGCAUCUGCUGGGCUAUAUACUUUGGGGCUUUUUGUCAUCUCCAGUGGUGGGUGCUGCUGGAAGAAGCGGAAUCUGGCCAAGAGAAGCAUUCCUGUAAAUUGGUGCAGCUAUUAUGGAGAACAAAUCAAAGUUCCUUAAACAGUUAAUAAACAAUUACCAUAUGA